UACGUAGGGCGCAAGCGUUGUCCGGAAUUAUUGGCGUAAAGAGCUCGUAGGUGGCUUGUCACGUCGGGUGUGAAAGCUUGGGGCUUAACUCCAGGUCUGCAUUCGAUACGGGCUGGCUAGAGGUAGGUAGGGGAGAACGGAAUUCCUGGUGUAGCGGUGAAAUGCGCAGAUAUCAGGAGGAACACCGGUGGCGAAGGCGGUUCUCUGGGCCUUACCUGACGCUGAGGAGCGAAAGCGUGGGGAGCGAACAGG
rnacentral:rRNA from 1 species